AAAAAAUCAAAUACCACAGUUUAUUAAACAGUCCAAUUAACAGAAGCCCAAAUUCAAACCUAAGCAUGGCCCAAAUUACAAACUCAUUACAGUCCAAAUCCCCAACCCGAUUGCAGAAACCCUAGCCCUUUAGCAUCACUUCCCUCCAGCCGCCGCAACAGUGGCCUCCUCUCCCCAGCCACGCGUACCUCACGCACGUAGCGCCACCAUGAGCCUCCAACUGGCCUCCGUACGACUUCUGUACCCGUACCUGCAACGCAACAAAAGCAACAAAGGCAGCAACAGCAGCAGAUACACGGGGAUAGCAAAGAAAAAUAGCAGAAAUUUAGAAAAUUUACCUGUAAAUUUCUAUUUUAUUUCCGGCUAUAUAAGGUCGUUUUCGAAUUUGUAAAAGGAUCCUUUUUUUCCUGGUUUCUUUCGCACACGCAUAUUGAAUACAAAAGAGGAUAUUCAGAAAAAAAGUUCGAAAAGGUGAUGGGUUUUUCGAUUUUUCUCGUUUGAUUUUUUUUCUUUUUUUUUUCUUUUUUCUCUGUUUUCGCAUGGGUUUUCUUCUUCUUUUUUGUAAAAAAGGUAAAUAAAAGGAAGAAGGAGACUAGAGUUGAUACCUAAGUUGGUGCGUCGCCAAAGCCCUCCUCCGUUCAGAUCGGAAUGAAUUUGGGGAAGGGUUCGAUUGUGAAGCGGCGCAAAAAAGGGGUGGCUUUGGGGGCUGGUGUUUAAGCUGGCCUAAGGUUCUGAUCUGAGGCUUAAGAGGGGAUUUAUAUAGUGCAUAAAACGGCACCGUUUUCAGUGGCCUUAAAACGGUGCCGUAUUAAUCAUCCAACUUCAAUAACCGGCGCGAUGACCCGACCCAGGGAGGAUCCGCGCAUUUUUAUUAAUUGGUCCAUUUGCGCGACAAGCCCUUCUGUGUUUUGGGUUGUUUCAAUUUGAUUUUAUUUAAUUUCUUUUAAUUUGCACCACAUAUUUGAGUUCGAUUUCAUUUAGAUCCAGGGACAGACGACAUCGUUCUCGCUGAUGAGAUUUGAAUUCUUGGCUUUGUGUUAAAUUGUUGUACUGGUCCCUUGGAUAUUAAUUGGUUCUCAUUUUAAUCAUUUGUGCAUUAUUUUCAAAUUCAAAC
rnacentral:lncRNA from 1 species